rnacentral:rRNA from 1 species
AUUGAACGCUGGCGGCAGGCUUAACACAUGCAAGUCGAACGAGUGGCGGACGGGUGAGUAAUGUCUGGGAAUCUAGCUUAUGGAGGGGGAUAACUACGGGAAACUGUAGCUAAUACCGCGUACCAUAGGAUGAGCCCAAGUGGGAUUAGGUAGUUGGUGGGGUAACGGCUCACCAAGCCGACGAUCUCUAGCUGGUCUGAGAGGAUGACCAGCCACACUGGAACUGAGACACGGCCCAGACUCCUACGGGAGGCAGCAGUGGGGAAUAUUGCACAAUGGGCGCAACCCUGACGCAGCCAUGCCGCGUGUAUGAAGAAGGCCUUCGGGUUGUAAAGUACUUUCAGUGGGGAGGCGUUACCUGCAGAAGAAGCACCGGCUAACUCCGUGCCAGCAGCCGCGGUAAUUC